GGGCAAAUACUCCAUUGGCAGA
rnacentral:miRNA from 1 species